GUGAGGAAUAUUGGUCAAUGGGCGGGAGCCUGAACCAGCCAAGUCGCGUGAAGGAAGAAGGAUCUAUGGUUCGUAAACUUCUUUUGCAGGGGAAUAAAGUGCAGGACGUGUCCUGUUUUGUAUGUACUGUACGAAUAAGGAUCGGCUAACUCCGUGCCAGCAGCCGCGGUAAUACGGAGGAUCCGAGCGUUAUCCGGAUUUAUUGGGUUUAAAGGGUGCGUAGGUGGUUUGAUAAGUCAGCGGGGAAAGUUUGCAGCUUAACUGUAAAAAUGCCGUUGAAACUGUCUGACUUGAGUGUAAAUGAGGUAGGCGGAAUGCGUGGUGUAGCGGUGAAAUGCAUAGAUAUCACGCAGAACUCCGAUUGCGAAGGCAGCUUACUAAGCUACAACUGACACUGAAGCACGAAAGCGUGGGGAUCAAACAGGAUUAGAUACCCGUGUAGUCC
rnacentral:rRNA from 1 species